AGAAUAAUAGUUUAAUUAAAAUAUUUAAUUUGCAUUUAAAAGAUAUUUAUUUAUUAAUUUUAUUUUA
rnacentral:tRNA from 1 species